GUGCCAGCAGCCGCGGUAAUACGUAGGGUGCGAGCGUUGUCCGGAAUUACUGGGCGUAAAGGGCUCGUAGGUGGUUUGUCGCGUCGUCUGUGAAAUUCCGGGGCUUAACUCCGGGCGUGCAGGCGAUACGGGCAUAACUUGAGUACUGUAGGGGUAACUGGAAUUCCUGGUGUAGCGGUGAAAUGCGCAGAUAUCAGGAGGAACACCGAUGGCGAAGGCAGGUUACUGGGCAGUUACUGACGCUGAGGAGCGAAAGCAUGGGUAGCGAACAGGAUUAGAUACCCUGGUAGUCCAUGCCGUAAACGGUGGGCGCUAGGUGUGAGGGUCUUUUCACGACUUUCGUGCCGUAGCUAACGCAUUAAGCGCCCCGCCUGGGGAGUACGGCCGCAAGGCUAAAACUCAAAGGAAUUGACGGGGGCCCGCACAAGCGGCGGAGCAUGUGGAUUAAUUCGAUGCAACGCGAAGAACCUUACCUGGGCUUGACAUAUACAAGACAGGCGUAGAGAUACGUCCUCCCUUGUGGUUUGUAUACAGGUGGUGCAUGGUUGUCGUCAGCUCGUGUCGUGAGAUGUUGGGUUAAGUCCCGCAACGAGCGCAACCCUUGUCUUAUGUUGCCAGCAUUUGGUUGGGGACUCAUGAGAGACUGCCGGGGUCAACUCGGAGGAAGGUGGGGAUGACGUCAAAUCAUCAUGCCCCUUAUGUCCAGGGCUUCACACAUGCUACAAUGGUCGGUACAACGCGCAGCGACACUGUGAGGUGGAGCGAAUCGCUGAAAGCCGGCCUUAGUUCGGAUUGGGGUCUGCAACUCGACCCCAUGAAGUCGGAGUCGCUAGUAAUCGCAGAUCAGCAAUGCUGCGGUGAAUACGUUCCCGGGCCUUGUACACACCGCCCGUCACGUCAUGAAAGUUGGUAACACCCGAAGCCGGUGGCCCAAACUUGUUAGGGAGCCGUCGAAGGUGGGAUCGGCGAUUGGGACGAAGUCGUAACAAGGUA
rnacentral:rRNA from 1 species